rnacentral:rRNA from 1 species
GAUGAACGCUGGCGGCGUGCCUAAUACAUGCAAGUCGAGCGAACGGACGAGAAGCUUGCUUCUCUGAUGUUAGCGGCGGACGGGUGAGUAACACGUGGAUAACCUACCUAUAAGACUGGGAUAACUUCGGGAAACCGGAGCUAAUACCGGAUAAUAUUUUGAACCGCAUGGUUCAAAAGUGAAAGACGGUCUUGCUGUCACGUAUAGAUGGAUCCGCGCUGCAUUAGCUAGUUGGUAAGGUAACGGCUUACCAAGGGAACGAUGCAUAGCCGACCUGAGAGGGUGAUCGGCCACACUGGAACUGAGACACGGUCAAGAAUCCUACGGGAGGCAGCAGUAGGGAAUCUUCCGCAAUGGGCGAAAGCCUGACGGAGCAACGCCGCGUGAGUGAUGAAGGUCUUCGGAUCGUAAAACUCUGUUAUUAGGGAAGAACAUAUGUGUAAGUAACUGUGCACAUCUUGACGGUACCUAAUCAGAAAGCCACGGCUAACUACGUG